UCGCAUGAAGUGCCAAUAUUGGAGGGAAUAGACCAAGCCAUAUUGGAGGAUCCCUUUCCUGCGGUAGUUGAGGGGGAGAGAGCAGAGAGAGAAGAACCAGAAUUAUUGGCACCAUCUCCCCAGCCUAGUGGACGCCGCAGCCGCAGCCGCAGCCGCAGCCGCCAUGUUUUAUCUCGGGAGGACGCUAGGCGUCUUCUCGUGCAGUCGGCCCAAGAAAAAACAGAGGCCAGUGUGCGUAGCAGUAAUGCCAUGGAGGGUGUGCAGCGAAGCCUGGCACUUAUUGCCAAUAGUCUAAAAACGAUACAAGAUGAUAUACGGGAUAUAAAAAGCAUUAUGUCUACCGCCUUUCCCAGAGCCGCUGAAUGAGAGCAUUCCUCACGGCCACACCCUGCUGGAGUGCUACGUUACCACGCCCUCCUUCGGUCACUGGAAUACUACUACGUGCAGAAUAAAUUGCCACUAAUCGCGAUUCUUCUUGUCUUUCUUCUGUAGUUAACUCUUGCGGAGGUAGCUUGGCUCCAUUGCACAUAUUAUGUAAUAUAACACAUGAAUUGACAAUAGAACCAGCUACCUCUGGUUGAUAGUGCAAUCUUCUAUGUAGUAGUAAACAACGGAAUCGUGCUUUUAAAAGACCAAUUGUGCGUUCAAUUAUAUUUCUAGUAUGCACAUGCAAAUUUGUAUAAUGUGCCUCUGGUGUAUUUGGUGCUGCAUUUAAAACAGGCGUCAUCAUGUACCGUCUUAAUGGAUAUCCAGAGUCACC